ensembl:snRNA U6 U6 spliceosomal RNA
GUGCUCGUUUUGGCAGCACAUACACUAAAUUGGAACAAUACAGAGCAGAUUAGCAUGGCCCCUAUGCAAGGAUGACAUACAAAUUUGUGAAGUGUUCCAUAUAUUU